rnacentral:rRNA from 1 species
CGUAGUCGAAUGGAUGAACGGGUUGAUAUUCCCGUACCGGUGUUACACCGUUCGAACUGAAUCUGAGAGUACUAACCUUCGUUAUUCUGGUUGAUUAUCUUUCGGGGUUUUCUUCUUGUUUAGUGUUGGGACUGUAUCGGUAGUAGGUUAGCGUGGGAGUGACGCGGGUAGGUAGCCGGCUGCGGAGGUGGUUUUCCGUGGCUAAGCGUGUGGGCUGUCCUCUAGGUAAAUCCGGGGGAUGUUAAGCUGAGGCGUGAUGGGUAGGCUGUAAGGCUGAUUCCGGUGAUCCUGCUUGCCGAGAAAAGCUUCAACGUGAGGUGUGAUUCCGCUCGUACCCUAAACCGACACUGGUGGUCUGGUAGAGUAUACCAAAGCGAUCGGGCGAAUCCUGGCCAAGGAACUCGGCAAAUUACUCCCGUGCCUUCGGCAUAAGGGAGACCCCUGAUGGUGAUGUUUUUUACAAGCGGAGCUGUUGGGGGUGGCACAAGCUAGGGGGUAGCGACUGUUUACCAAAAACACAGGAGCGUGCGAAGGCGUAAGCCGCUGUAUACGCUCUGACGCCUGCCCGGUGCCGGAAGGUUAA